rnacentral:rRNA from 1 species
CGCGUAGGCGGUAGGACAAGUGAGAUGUGAAAUCCCUGGGCUUAACCUAGGAAUGGCAUUUUAGACUGUAAUACUAGAGGUCAGUAGAGGGUAGUGGAAUUUCCGGUGUAGCGGUGAAAUGCGUAGAGAUCGGAAGGAACACCAGUGGCGAAGGCGACUACCUGGACUGAAUCUGACGCUGAGGCGCGAAAGCGUGGGGAGCAAACA